rnacentral:lncRNA from 1 species
ACAAAUAGAAGCGUUGCUCAUAUCCUCUUGAAUCAGGUGUGCAGUAUGAUGGAGUUUACAGAAUUAAGAACUGUUAGAUAAAGAUUGGUGUUCAGGUAAUUUUACUUCCUGUACAGAGGUUCCACAUGCUGCUCUCUACUUUGUGCCACUGAAUGAAAGAUCAAUGUAUAUUCUUUUGAUUUCUGUCACAGGGUACGUAUAAGGUCUUGAUGUUAAACUAAUGUAAUUUUUAUUGCUUACUAAAGCCUCCUAAGUCCCAACUCAACCACUUGAAGUUAAACUGAAGUAUUAAUCAAUCUUGUUUGCUUUCUUGUACGUGUAUGCCUACUUACCUUGCCCUAUAUGGCGAUCGAUGGCCAACCAUAGAACGGUUCUGAUUUUUUUAUUUUGUCAAGUUUAGUUCAUAUUUUUUUUAUCCAUGUGGUGUUUAAACGGUGACUAUGUAGAGUUCAUAGAAAUUGUGAGGCAUAGAAUUGAUUCAAUCUUCAUUUUUUUUCCAAUUUGGUUCAGAGCUAUUACCUGCUACACCUACAGAUGUGAAAAGCUUACACUUUGCAAAUCCAAAAUUAAGCAGCAUAAUUUCUCAUAGAUUAUAUAUAAAUUGAGUGACAACUUCUGGGACAUGUGCUUCUUUUGACCUAUUAUCUUGCUUUUGCAUGAUUUAUUGGAGGUCCAUAAGGCAGUUCUAUCUCUCUCGCUAAUACAAUAAGUUUCUCUUUAACAAAAAAACAAACACAGGGCAGGAGCAUAGAUGGUGCACAGGAGAGCUGCCUUGUCAUUGAUAGAGGAAGUGUGAGAGCAUGCUAAUUGUGCAGGGAAGAGAAAUAAAAUGAAAACGAAAAUGAGAAACAAAAGAGAAGAAUGUUAUGAUCUCAUGAUAAUGUCGGCCACCAGCCAGCGCCCACAAGAGUAUACCUAUAGGCGGUCCAAAGGUACUAGCAUGCUUGCCAAUGAAUGUCACAUGCUCUACCUAAUAUGUAAUGCUUGGUUCUUUAUUUAUUUAUUUUUCUUGUAGUUCAUGCUUCUUUUCAAUUAUGCAAUUUAGAAAGAAAAAAAGCAUGUUAUUAUGUCAUUAUACCAUGCCAGUAUAUGUCAUGGAGGCCGGUAAAGUGAUUAUUAGUUAAAAAGUAUAGGUCAAGCUUGAUAUGUUCUAAUCUGUAGUUACUUAACCUUUGCUUCAAAGUAGUCAUGCAUUAUGUGAUUAUCAAGCUUCAAUUGACUGAUGGUUUCAUUGAUUAAUUCCAGGUUAUCUAGGUUGGUAAAAAGCAAGGCCGCCUCAUAGUUGAGGAAGAUGAUGUGCAACCAAUGAAGAAGAUAUAUUAGGAUGGAACUCGAGGCAUUUUGUGGAUUAGUAUCUAUAGUUUUUUGAUGCCUAUAAAGCAGAGGUAUGUGUGACAAAACAGAAGUAUCCAUGAAUUACUACUUUAUA